GACGAACGCUGGCGGCGUGCUUAACACAUGCGAGUCGAACGGAAAGGCCCUGCUUUUGUGGGGUGCUCGAGUGGCGAACGGGUGAGUAACACGUGAGUAACCUGCCCUUGACUUUGGGAUAACUUCAGGAAACUGGGGCUAAUACCGGAUAGGAGCUCCUGCUGCAUGGUGGGGGUUGGAAAGUUUCGGCGGUUGGGGAUGGACUCGCGGCUUAUCAGCUUGUUGGUGGGGUAGUGGCUUACCAAGGCUUUGACGGGUAGCCGGCCUGAGAGGGUGACCGGCCACAUUGGGACUGAGAUACGGCCCAGACUCCUACGGGAGGCAGCAGUGGGGAAUAUUGCACAAUGGGCGGAAGCCUGAUGCAGCAACGCCGCGUGCGGGAUGAUGGCCUUCGGGUUGUAAACCGCUUUCGCCUGUGACGAAGCGUGAGUGACGGUAAUGGGUAAAGAAGCACCGGCUAACUACGUG
rnacentral:rRNA from 1 species